UUUUAAAUUUUUUUGUUUAUAUGGUUAUAUAAUGUUAGUUUUAAUUAGAAAGAUAAAAAUUGUUUAUAUAUUUGUCGUUUAAGUUGAAAAUUUGUUUAAGUUGAAAAUAUGUUUAAGUUGAAAAUAUUUAUAUAAUUAUGUAUGAUAUUGCUUUCUAUCGUAAAUAUAUUUGUUGUAUAACUUGGAAAAUUGUUUAUAUAUGUGUAUGUUAUUGUUUUUUAUCGGGGAAAUAUAUAUAUUAGUAAUUAAGAAAGUAUUUGCAGUUCGUAAUCAUAUAUUUAAAAAAAAAUAUAUUUUUUAGUUAUCUAAUUUGUUUUUGUGUUUUUUUUUGCAGCAUGAUUUUAGUUUAAUGAAUACGAAAGCCUUUGCGAACCUAAAAGGCUCUGGCGGUAACAUAUGGGAAGUCUUUGAAGUUUUAGAUGAUGCCCGACGUGCUAUUUUCAGAAAUACUGUCUUUGGCUAUUUUAUUGAUGUCCCUCGUUUACAAGGGGACGCUUUAUUGUUUCAUAAAAUGUUCCUUCAUCAGAUCCGGCCGGACCCUGUUUUAUCUCCAGAUGGAAUAAAACGUUUAUAUUUUCGAGUAGGCAAUACCAAAAUGGUUUAUGGGCCGGAAGAGUUUUGUUUGAUUACCGGGUUCAAUUUUGGGGAGUAUCCAAAAAACAUUGGGAGAAAAGGGUCGGAAAAAUUAAUAAGCAGUAAAAAAAGAUGUUUACUGCGUGAACGGCUAUUUCCGGACCAUACUAAUAGUUCGGUGAAAAUCGGCGACCUGAAAAGUUUAAUUUUAAAUCAAACAUUCCUAGCACUUGAUGACCUUGAUGCAGUUAGAGUAUGUUUGAUAUACAUUUUGUGUGAAGGUUUUUUGGGCAAAGAAGUUAACGAUCGGGUGCCACAAGAUUGGUUUUAUUUGGCUGAGAAUUUGGAUCUCUGGAAUAGCUUCGCUUGGGGUAGCUAUCUAUGGGAUUUUACUUAUGUUGACCUUGAGGAUACGUGGAAUAAGAUACAUCAUUAUUUAUCACUUCCUGAGCGUGAUCAAACUUUAAAGUAUUCCGUCUCAGGAUUUACGGCUCCAAUUAGGGUAUAAAAAUUUUAUUAUAUUUAAAUUGUUUUAUUGUUAUAUUUUUUAUUUUAAUUUUAACUUUUAUUACUGUUAUUGUACAAAAUUGUAGAUAUGGAUAUAUGAGAUGAUUCCGGCUGUUCGUGCAUGUGGAUUUGCAUUGAGAAAAAAUAAAGACUUGCCUCGGAUGAAAAGAUGGAGCGGAACAAAAAAAUUGAAAUGGGUUGACGUGAACAAGAUUUGGUCAAAGAUGCAGGAGGGGCUACCACCAAGACAAAACAUGUUACCGGGUGAUGGUGAGAUGACAUCUUUUUAUUAUAUGUCAUUUCAAGAGUAUGUAUAUGGUGAAGGGAAAGCAGUUCCAUCCCCAGUACGGGACCAUUUUAGGAGACAAGACGAAUCUUCGUCUAGUAUGUCGUCCAGUGGUCGCUCUCAUGGUAGAGGUCGGGGCAGUGGGAAACACAAGCUAGACGAGUUGUUGAAACGGGUACAUGCACUGGAGCAGCAUGUGUUUAUGAAUCAACAAAAACCUACAGAGGUUUUUUUAUGAAGAAGUGAAUAAUGAACAAUUUUGGAACGACAUUAUUUUUGAGGAACCGACAGUGUCACAAAGAAAUUAU